AGGUCAGGUUCAACAUGCUCUGCGGAGGUCAAAGGUCAGGUUCAACACGCUCUGCGGAGGUCAAAGGUCAGGUUCAACACGCUCUGCGGAGGUCAAAGGUCAGGUAUAAACGCGCUAUAGAGGUCAAAGGUCAGGUUCAAAAAAGGUACCUGGGCUUAGGGACCACGAUGUUAGGAGUUAGGAUCACAGCCUUUAGAAGGCUGAGAACCACCGGUCUAGUGAGUGAGUGAGUAAUGGUGUUGAGUGAGAGAGUGAGUGAGUAAUGGUGUUGAGUGAGAGAGUGAGUGAGUGAUGGGGUGGGUAAUGGUGUUGAGUGAG
ensembl:lncRNA